CGCUAUCCCCGGGGCGGCUCCCCCGGAGCAGCAGCGGCGGCUUCGGCAUCGCCCGGUACCGGCGGCGGCGGCGGUGGAGGCGGCGGCAAACGGCGGCUCCCGCUUUUCGCUGUCCCGGAGCAGCCGGGAGCGGCGCGACACCCCCCCGGCUGGGCAUGAAAGGUGCUUUACAGAGAAAGACACCAGCUGAAGGGUUCGAGUCUGUGCCAGAAAAGGAGAAGGAACUGGUGGGAUGGCUCAGAGUGAGGGGUUGCUUGUGGCUGCCGGUUGGUCACAGACUCCUCAAGCCUGCUUGAGUUUGUUCGGGUGAACCUUUACUCGACAUGGAAUGAGCCACUCAAUGCAUGCAGCUGAUAGAGGGGAAGGACCUCAAUGCUCUGCUCUCCAGCAGCGACUGCCUCUGUGGAAAACAGCUGGACACUGCGGCAUUUCCAGGGAAUGGCCUCCGCUGGUGUACAGCACCCACUGGGCUCAGUGUCUUUGCGUCCUGGUCCUCUAGAUGGGGUGAGCAAUGUCCUUUAAGCCUUUCCUUUGACUGGGUCUCUUGCCUGUCCUCCACCUGGCUUGGUUUAUUGACAGCUGUGGUUAAAUGUUGUGUCUGCUCCCUGAUGUCAGGAGCUGAAUCUGCAUGGUCUUCCUAUUAAGAAGGUUUGGGAGAUACAGAAGGUCAGUGGAGGACACGGACACCUCCCGCGGGAUCCAAUUGCUCCAAGCCCCAUCCGACCUGCCCUUGAACACCUCUGGGGAUGGGGCAGCCACCACUGCUCUGGGCAACCUGGGCCAGGGCUUCCCCACCCUCACACUAAAACAUUUCUCCCCAAGAUCUCCUCUCAGUCUCCCCUCUUUCAGCUGAAAACCCUUCCCCCUCAACCUCUCCCUGCCCUCCCUGAUCAAAAGCCCCUCCCCAGCUUUCCUGGAGCCCUUUUCAGUGGUUGAAGCUGCUCUAAGGUCUCCCCACAGCCUUCUCUUCUCCAACUCCAGCUCUCCCAGCCUGUCCUCGUACAGGAAGUGCUCCAGCUCCUGCUAUCAAGGCCAAUCUUAUCCUUAAAGGUAGGAAAAAAGAAAAGUGGGAGUGUUUGGUGGCACUGGGCCUUAAGCUGGAGGCAGAGACACUGUGUGGUGUUUAGCUCAGGGCAUCUGCUCCAGGUUCUUCAUAGCCGAACACUUGAUAACUCCAGGUCUGUUGCUAUUUAUACCAUAUAAAUAACAAUUUAACUUCCAACAACUCUAAACCAGACAUCAGUUCUCCUUGUAAGAUUUGUUCAGUCAGGGGUACCCCAAACCCUGGACCAUUGUGCUGGCUCGUGAUUAUCCUCUCACACACGUAAAUCCAAGGAAAUCAGGAAUUAACAAUUAUAAUACCUAGAAAAUGUGUAAGUGUCAGGGCAGCUUGGCUGGCAUGGAAGCUGGAGAGGGAGAGCUGUGGUGCCUCUGUAGCACUGGGAGUGUCCGCAGAAGGAAUGUGCUGUGUGCUGAGAGGUUCCUUCUCCAGGAACAUGAAAAAGGAGCUGCCAACAGGAGCGCGAGCCAUCCAGACUGAUAAAACCAGGAGAAAGAAGAAAACACCCAGGCGAGAGAGAACAGAUUUCCAGGAUAGGCUGUGCUAACACGGUACAAGCUGUCAGCAGGCGAGCUUGGAGGAGACGGGAUGCCCUCUGUGAGCUGGAGUCCUCAUUGUCUGUGUGGCAGGGGACAAGAAGGGAAGUUGUGUGAACCAAAAAUAGUCUCACAGUUUGGGAAGUGAAACUGUGUUCCUGUGACCUCUCACACUUGUGCUUAUGUGCAGGGCAGCGGGUUGUCUUGCUCUGCCAGCCGAGAGAGAGGGAUCUCGCCUUCCCUCCAGGUGCAAUCCAUCCCUGCAGGCGCAUCCUCCCAUGACCCAUCACCCGCCUUUAAAAUCCUCGCCAUGGGUGCACUCCAGCAGCAUCUGCAGCUGCAGACAUCUGGAUGGGGCUUUCUCAUGAACCUACUUACGCUGCUCUGGGGUCAAGGGAUUGCUCUGGGCUCUGAGGAAUCCCUGCUGCCUCUGCGGGACCUCUGGGCACUGGGCACGGCUGGAUUGCAGUGGGAGAGGCAAGUGCUGGAUCUGCAGGACCUCUGGGCAUGUCUGGAUUGGGAGGAGAGGCGAGUGCUGGCCCAGGGUGGGCAGCUCCCAUCCUUUCCAAGGUAGGGGUCUGGCCUUUACCUCAGUACGUUUAAAUGCUGCUGUGCGAGGCAUUGCUGGCUGGUGGGGAAGGGAGGAGGCAACAGGGACUUUGUGCCUUGGGAACGCUGCCUGCUUGUCAGAGCUCCCAGGAGAAGCUGGGAUUGAGUUUUCAGUGUGCUGGUGGGCACGAGGGCCUUUGUCAUGAUAAUUUUGUGGGGCAUUUAAUGGGCUUAGGCUGAGUCCUGGAAACCCAGGCAGCAGUGGGGUAAUGAAAUGUCGGCUAUCUUUCGGUCUGACUGCAUCCCAUCUCGUAAUAUCUUAAAUGCUUGGAUACCACUGUUAACUUAGCUCAUCCAUCCCUUUCCCUGCCCAGCUGGGUGCCCAGCGUGGUCUGUGCUGGGUGCAUGCUGACCGCAGAGAGCGCGCUGCUCAUGGCUGUCCCUGAGCAGGUUCCCCAGUGCCGUAUGUCUCCAAAGGCUCAUUACCACCAGAGCUGGAGAGCCUCGCCUGCCGCCUUGCCCAGAGGAGACGCUGAGCACCAGCAGAGCUCGUUACCCUUAAUGGGACGAGAGGCGCUGGGGCACUCCGCAGAGCCAGGCCAGCAGGAUGCUGCUUUGUUCAUUCAACUUCUUGUGUCACAGCGGCCGAGCAAGCAUCUGGGCGGUUUCUUUUGGUCUUAUCUGGGAGGUGAGCUGUUGGGGUUUUUGCCCAGUUCCCCAAGAUAUUCUUGGGGAUGUUGGAGUCUGGUCUGGUCCCAGAAUAAAGCAGAUUCUGUGUCGCCCUGGGGCUGAAGGGGUUAAUUUUUGUGCUUCUCUCCCCAGCUCGCUGCGGACUCUGGCUGGGACAGAACAUCUGUCUGUUGCUAUGGCUGCAGUACACUUGAAGGGGAUGACUGGAUAAUUAUUGCAAACAUCCAUCCUGCCUGAUGUGCUCCCGGACCCUCCCUGCCCAAAUGCAGGGGGAGCAGCCACCUUCGAGCACAACUUCAGCCACAGGGAUCCUACCUAGGGAUGGCGGGUUGGCAACACCUUUUCAUUUGCAUAAUUAAUGAGGCCGAGGCUGCAGGGCUCCUGGGAAAUCCGACGCAGAGCAGCAGCAAUGAAAUGGCACAGAGGGCUCCAGCCUUCUCGGUGGCUCGUUAGAGCUCUGCUGGCUGACAAUGCCGCGCUUUGGAGCUUCAGGGGAGUUGUUCUCCCAUUUCCAUUAAUUUACCACCCACUUCCAUCUGAACAGAUUGCUCUGGGCCCGAUCCUGCAGUACCUCCUGCCGGGUGUAGGGCCCAGGUUUGUGUGUGAUGGGCAGGAUGCGGCCGGCGCAGCAAGCGGGCAAGCCCUGGUGCAAAGCCCGUUGCCUUCAGGGCUGUCUGCACCAGCUGAGAGCCUUGGAAGCUGCACAGUCCUGGGUUGUGGCAUGGACCCAGGGCUUCCCUGGCCUCUCACGGCUGGGCAGGCUGCUGCCUGUGUUCCCUGGCUGUGCUGCCGCUGCUUGCUGCUCGGUCCUUGCUGAAUCAAGCUGUGCCUGCUGCUUCAUCCCUGCUGUGCCCGGCACCAUCCUGCGUGUGCAGAUAUGGUGUCAGCACCGUGACCGGCCGGUACAUCCAUGAGGAUGGGCACCACUGGGGAAGGGUGGGAGGCUGCUCCACGGCAUGAGCUACUCGCUGGAGCCUGCUGCGAGCCCUGGCUGGUGGUCCACCCUGGAUCACCCUGCAGCUGCGCCUGCUUUCCCAGUGGCGCCCAUCGAGGGCUGUGGUAUGCCCUAACCUCAUACUUCCAAGCCACUCCGUCCUCUCCUCUGCUCCUAGGAAUCAACCAGUGCCACCAGCACCUGCCCGCAGCACCCACAGCGCCUUUGUUCUUGGUGUUGGGCUGUUCUUUUGCCUAGUGGCAUUAACCCUGCCUUGGGUCAAACCCUGGAGGCGUUAAAAAAUCCAGGUCCUGUCCUGCGUCAUGGGGUUGUCUGUGUUUCAGUGCAUCCCACCUCUGAAUUAGUAGAGAAAAAAAUAGCAGAGGUUCCCCGUCUGACCGGACCCUGCUGUACUCUGCUCAGCGAUGAACCUCAAUGCAUCCAUUGUACAUUUUUUUCUGUUUAUCAGCACGUGGUGGGGUAGGGAGUCUGAGUGGAGCCGGGACCACGAUGAGCACAACGCUCUGCAGCCGCCGGCCAACCAACAGCAUCAGGUCCGGGACGUCUGCUGGUGCCACGCUCCCUCUGCAGAGGUCCAAGUAGGCUGUGCAGGACAGUGCUGCCACUUGCUUUUCCUGUUAUCUCUAACACUGGCAAUAAAUAAGAUUCUCAUAAACACUUCACAUCUGCAGAGCACCCCAUAAGCACCCGCGGGGCAGAGCAUUCCCUGAGGCUGAGGAUGGGUGGCAGGUAGGGAGUGGGGUCGGGACGGUGGGGCUUUCCAUCAGGCAGCGUCACCUCCUUAAACCAGGAAGGGUGGCAUGAAGACAGGAUAACAGUGUUUGA